rnacentral:rRNA from 1 species
UUAGUAAGAGCAGACGGAGGAUGCCUAGGCGCUUGGUGCGGAUGAAGGACGUGGCGAACAACGAAUCUGCGUCGGGGAGCUGUAAGCAAGCUUUGAUCCGGGGGUGUCCGAAUGGGGAAUCCCAGCUGGGGUAAUUUCCAGUUACUCACAACUGAAUACAUAGUUUGUGUAGAGGCAUACCAAGGGAACUUAAACAUCUAAGUACCUUGAGGAAGAGAAAACAAUAGUGAUUCCGUC